AAUGUGUGGCAUACGGCUCAGUAACACGUAGUCAACAUGCCCAGGGGACGUGGAUAACCUCGGGAAACUGAGGAUAAACCGCGAUAGGUCACUACUUCUGGAAUGGGUAAUGACCCAAACCUAUAUGGCCCCUGGAUUGGACUGCGGCCGAUCAGGCUGUUGGUGAGGUAAUGGCCCACCAAACCUGUAACCGGUACGGGCUCUGAGAGGAGGAGCCCGGAGAUGGGCACUGAGACAAGGGCCCAGGCCCUAUGGGGCGCAGCAGGCGCGAAACCUCUGCAAUAGGCGAAAGCUUGACAGGGUUACUCUGAGUGAUUUCCGUUAAGGAGAUCUUUUGGCACCUCUAAAAAUGGUGCAGAAUAAGGGGUGGGCAAGUCUGGUGUCAGCCGCCGCGGUAAUACCAGCACCCCGAGUGGUCGGGACGUUUAUUGGGCCUAAAGCAUCCGUAGCCGGUUCUACAAGUCUUCCGUUAAAUCCACCUGCUUAACAGAUGGGCUGCGGAAGAUACUAUAGAGCUAGGAGGCGGGAGAGGCAAGCGGUACUCGAUGGGUAGGGGUAAAAUCCGUUGAUCCAUUGAAGACCACCAGUGGCGAAGGCGGCUUGCCAGAACGCGCUCGACGGUGAGGGAUGAAAGCUGGGGGAGCAAACCGGAUUAGAUACCCGGGUAGUCCCAGCUGUAAAC
rnacentral:rRNA from 1 species